CUUAUAAGCUAAUUUAGAUAAGCUAAGUCAAAUGGGCCCAAUUAUUUUUUUGAGCUUAUUUUAAGCACAAAAUGACUUUAAGCUGGUCAGUCAAACACUCAAAAAAGCUGAAAACAGCUUAUAAGCAACUUAUAAGCCAAUCCAAACGGGUUCAUAAACAUCUCUAUUCUCCCUCUCAACACACACCACCACGAUCACUAUAACUGGUCCACCUGUAUCCCCCUAAGCCUGCCCAUUCACUGCUCUUCGGUACACUGUGGUUAGACUAAACCAAGUUGUUGUUGCUGGGAAACGAAAGGAAAAGGCCACCGGGUCCCAAGGCCGAAAGAGUGCCCGGACUGGCCAGACUUCCAGUAGUCAGGCUCCUCCUCCGGCUACCUACCAGCCACCGCAACCUGCUCCUAAACGCAGAUGGCGUUUCAAAUGGGUUCAAGUACAUGGGAAGAAAUGGUUCAAGAAAUUUAAGCCACUCAGGUAUCGUCAUGAGAUCCCUGUUAAUGAAGCAAGUUUUCAGGCCGAGCAUGGGACUACAGUUUGUAUUCGAUGAUCCUGGCAAGUGCAAUUUAAAUCUGGUUCGUGAGGCUUAUGCCCAUUGGGAUUGCUUGUUGACUCUUGAUGAGAUAGAGGUUUGUGGUGCAGUAGCAACGUUUUCAUAUGAUGACUUGUGCAGUUUUAUGGGGGACUCUUGCAUGUGGUGCCCAGUGAUCCGAUCAGGGAGAUCUUUGAGCACCCUCCUUACCAUGAAAUCUGACAUACUCUAUGUGGGCAUCACUCCAACGCAAGGUGGAGUGCAGAAAAGAAGCCAAUGCACAUAAGACACUUGCCCUUGCACAUAGGACAAAGAAAUCUUGAGUGUGGCUGCAAAUUAUUUGUGCCCAUUUUAUGCCAUGUUCACUACUCUUCUGUGACUAGAGAUGGAGUUUGCUUGUUGUAUAUGCUAAUGACGGACCAAUGCAUCAACAUAGGCUAUUUGAUGAAGAGGGAGACGGAGUGGUUCUAGCUCGCCUUUUUUUUUUUUUUUUUUUGCAGCACCCUCACUUGCAACUUUAAGAGUGAAAGUGUGUCUGAGGAGGAGGAGCUCGAUUCCAGACUACCGAUGAUGGGCCCACUUGUGGAUGUGACUAGGGUGAGAAAUGCAGAGGAUAUUCAGGGACAGACACUAUUGGCGGCCUAGCGCCAUGCUUUAGACUAUUACAUUCUGGUCAAUACAUAUGCGAUGCAGCGUCUCCAGUUGAGCAUUGGUGGGAGACCGGCCACGGCUGAGGAGCUAUCACUUGUUGAUGAGCAGUUUUCUCAGUGAGCAUGCACCGUUUUUAUGCAAGAUCUGGCCCGGAUUUGAGGAGUCAUUAGAUGAUGAUGUGCCACCCAGAGCGAGGCUAGUGAGGAGAAGGUUGAUGAUGAUGAGGAAGAGUCGGAGCGUGACAGUGAGGAUGGUGACACUGAUUAUGCUCCCACGAACAGCAUUGACGAGAAUGCUAGUGAUGCGGAUUAUGAGUAGACAGGGAGUUCCUUCCCUUCACCCCCCCCCCCCCCCCCCCCCCAAUUUGGCUUUAUUUUUGUUUCACCGGAUACGGUUCAUGAUUUUAACUGUGGUGGGGAAGUAAACUUCUUAUUUUCGGCAUGUAUUCGUAUUAUUUUUUCUGUUUAUCAGUUGACUUUGUUUUUAUUUGUUUCUUGCUCUUUAGGAGUUAUGGGAUGUGGUACUUCAAAAUAUACUAAUGGUCUGUUAUAAUUGUUAAUUAAUAUAUUAGUAAUUUAGUAAUAUUUUGUACUGCUAGUAGUAAGAGCACCCCUUGGUUUUUGUUUUCAGUUCUUUUCUGGGGGUCUCUGAACCGUAAUUGUUUUAGUCAUAGAGACGUAGUUCCCUAAGAUGGAUGGAUGGUGACCGUCUUGAUGGGAACAUUAGUCUUUAGGAAGGAGGUAGGAGAUGAGAGCUCUUAAGGCCAUUUGAAUGCUAGGUGCUCGAGAUUAGGGACACUAUUGACAACAUGUCGAAUCUCGAAUUUUUGAAAGUGAAAUUAUGCUUAAAAAUAACUUAUUUCGAAACACCUAAACUCUUCUACUUGACUCUUGUAUAAAAUUGUUGGCUUAAAAUGCUUGCCUUGAAUUCGUGUCAUUGUUUGCUAAGUAGAGGGGCGAUAUGGAUCCUGCUUGAACCAUGAGUGUGUCAUGUGUGGUUAGGAAUUUUAAAUAUAUUCCAUGUCUUAUAUUGAUGUGUAGAACUUGUCUGGUAUGUGUACAAAGUGAAACUAGGUGUGUUUGAGUCAGGAGAUAUAGUCAUUUUUUUGUUAUCCAUGAUUUUUUACCAUAUAUUUACCUACCCAUACGGGAUAUCCAUAGUUAACACCUUCGAACCUUUAGCCUAUUUUGUUUGGUAUCCAAGUCCUUAGUCAUCCCCUUUGUUGGUAUAACUUAAAAUAUUUGAUCCCGAACUUCUAAUCCACUUUAGAAAUUGAGCGCUUAGAAGUAAGUGGGAAGUAGAUAUAAAGGGAAGUUGAGGUGGAAACUAGAAAAAAGAGGUUAAGGGUGAACUUGUUGAAAAUAAUCUAAGUGUACAUUGUUAGUAGGGAAAAGGAAAAUGUGAUCUACUUGAAAAAAAAAAAAAACAAUAUAAAAUUUCUCCUUGCUAGCGAUGGACAAAGAAAAAAGAAAAAAGAAAAAAGAAAAAGAAAAAUAAAGAGAGUGCUUAGUGAAAAAGGGAGACAUAAGGGGAAGUGUAAAAAGAAAGAUUGAAACAUUGACAAAACAACGGAAAGCGCAUAAGUGAUAAUAAAAUGUAUAUCUUAAAAGUGCUUAGGGAGGUUAGUUACUAUUCAUCCAAAUAAUUCAUACUCAUCUCUUAGCCGACAUUACAACCAUUGAAGUCAUAUUUGAUCUAUACUUGAUAUUCUUUUGUUAAUAGAGUAAGACAUUAAGGGAAAGCCUAUGGUACGUCAUAUGAGCUUGUAAAAUUCUUGUUGAGAGUGAGCGAAAUUCUUUCUAUUCAUUGCCUGUGUUGUAUGUUGUCUGGAAAA